rnacentral:SRP_RNA from 1 species
GCCAGGCACAGUGGUGCGUGCCUGCAGUCCCAGCUACUCGGGAGGCUGAGGUGAGAGGAUCCCUUGAGCCCAGGAGUUCCGGGCUGUAGUACGCUAUGCCAAUCAGGUGUCCGCACUAAGUUCGGCAUCAAUAUACUGACCUCCUGGGAGCAGGGGACCACCAGGUUGCCUAAGGAGGGGUGAACCGGCCCAGGUCGGAAACGGAGCAGGUCAAAACUCCAGUGCUGAUCAGUAGUGGGAUCGUGCCUGUGAAUAGCCACUGCACUCCAGCCUGGGUAACAUAGCGAGGCCCUGUCUCU